rnacentral:rRNA from 1 species
UACGUAGGGGGCUAGCGUUGUCCGGAAUCAUUGGGCGUAAAGCGCGCGUAGGCGGCCCGGUAAGUCCGCUGUAAAAGUCCAGGGCUCAACCCUGGAACGCCGGUGGAUACUGUCGGGCUAGAGUCCGGAAGAGGCGAGUGGAAUUCCUGGUGGUAGCGGUGGAAUGCGCGGAUAUCAGGAGGAACACCGAUGGCGAAGGCAGCUCGCUGGGACGGUACUGACGCUGAGGCGCGAAAGCGUGGGGAGCGAACAGG